UGCAAGUCGAACGCACUAGCAAUACUGAGUGGCAAACGGGUGAGUAUAAUGUGGGAAUCUGCCUUUUGGUUUGGAAUAACACGGGGAAACUUGUGCUAAUACCGGAUAAGCCCUUACGGGGAAAGUUUUAACGCCGAAAGAUGAGCCUGCACUUGAUUAGCUAGUUGGUAAGGUAAAAGCUUACCAAGGCGACGAUCAAUAGCUGUUCUUAGAGGAAGACCAGCCACAUUGGGACUGAGACACGGCCCAGACUCCUACGGGAGGCAGCAGUGGGGAAUCUUGCACAAUGGGGGAUACCCUGAUGCAGCGAUGCCGCGUGAGUGAAGAAGGCCUUUGGGUUGUAAAACUCUUUCGUCGGGGAAGAAAAUGACUGUACCCGAAUAAGAAGGUCCGGCUAACUUCGUGCCAGCAGCCGCGGUAAUACGAAGGGACCUAGCGUAGUUCGGAAUUACUGGGCUUAAAGAGCUCGUAGGUGGUUAAAAAAGUUGAUGGUGAAAUCCCAAGGCUCAACCUUGGAACUGCCAUCAAAACUUUUUAGCUAGAGUGUGAUAGAGGUAAGUGGAAUUUCUAGUGUAGAGGUGAAAUUCGUAGAUAUUAGAAAGAACACCAAAUGCGAAGGCAACUUACUGGGUCACUACUGACACUGAGGAGCGAAAGCAUGGGUAGCGAAGAGGAUUAGAUACCCUCGUAGUCCAUGCCGUAAACGAUGUGUGCU
rnacentral:rRNA from 1 species